rnacentral:rRNA from 1 species
CCACCACUAAGCCAGUGGUGAACUCCACAUACGCAUCCUUUGCUGAGGAUACGGUUAACGGAGCGAAAGCGACGUUCAACCUCAAAAGAAGCAGAGGGGGCUUAGUGGUGGGGUGACUGCGUACCUUUUGUAUAAUGGGUCAGCGACUUAUAUUCUGUAGCAAGGUUAACCGAAUAGGGGAGCCGGAGGGAAACCGAGUCUUAAUUGGGCGUUAAGUUGCAGGGUAUAGACCCGAAACCCGGUGAUCUAGCCAUGGGCAGGUUGAAGGUUGGGUAACACUAACUGGAGGACCGAACCGACUAAUGUUGAAAAAUUAGCGGAUGACCUGUGGCUGGGGGUGAAAGGCCAAUCAAACCGGGAGAUAGCUGGUUCUCCCCGAAAGCUAUUUAGGUAGCGCCUCGUGAAUUCAUCUCCGGGGGUAGAGCACUGUUUCGGCUAGGGGGCCAUCCCGGCUUACCAACCCGAUGCAAACUGCGAAUACCGGAGAAUGUUAUCACGGGAGACACACGGCGGGUGCUAACGUCCGUCGUGAAGAGGGAAACAACCCAGACCGCCAGCUAAGGUCCCAAAGUCAUGGUUAAGUGGGAAACGAUGUGGGAAGGCCCAGACAGCCAGGAUGUUGGCUUAGAAGCAGCCAUCAUUUAAAGAAAGCGUAAUAGCUCACUGGUCGAGUCGGCCUGCGCGGAAGAUGUAACGGGGCUAAACCAUGCACCGAAGCUGCGGCAGCGACACUGUGUGUUGUUGGGUAGGGGAGCGUUCUGUAAGCCUGUG